rnacentral:rRNA from 1 species
CCCUUAGAUGUCCUGGGCCGCACGCGCGCUACACUGAUGCAUUCAACGAGUCUACCUUGGCCGAGAGGCCUGGGCAACCUUUUAAACGUGCAUCGUGAUAGGGAUAGAUUAUUGCAAUUAUUAAUCUUGAACGAGGAAUUCCUAGUAAACGCAAAUCAUCAAUUUGCAUUGAUUACGUCCCUGCCCUUUGUACACACCGCCCGUCGCACCUACCGAUUGAAUGGUCCGGUGAGGCCUCGGGAUUGUGACUAGUUCACUUCAUUGUGGAUUGGUUGCGAGAACUUGUCCAAACCUUAUCAUUUAGAGGAAGGUGAAGUCGUAACA